CUCACCCACCCGCCCGGAUGUGACGCUACGACCGCCGCGCCCUCCCACCGCCAGGCAGGCGGGAAGGCAGUCCACUAGAGGGAGGCCCGCGGCCGAAAGCGAGGGGCGGGCUCGCCCCGUACCCCUGGGCGACCGCUUCCCAGACUCUCCCUCCGGCCAGCAAAGGAGGGCGGGGUUGGGAAGAGGGAGGGCUACCAUGGUAACCAGAAGGCGCGUAGUGGUUAAGCCUGUCCAGCAGCUGGGCAGGCCGCCCACAAUGGUUGGCUUGCGCGGCCUUUACGCACUCGCAGUUGACCCCUCACUCCUGGCUUCCUGUGUCCUCUCCACAACCUAAACCACCCCACAAGCCUCUAUUUCACCCACCCCACAAAUGCUCCAAACCCAGGUGCUAAGAAAAGCCUAGACUUUCUGGGCCUCCUCUUCAACAGUGCUGCUCUCCAGCCUCCUUUCAAAGUCAGCUCAGGUACCCCAGGAGCUAUUUGUCAGUUAGAACCCCCCUCUACAGACAUUGCCAUCCAGGAUUUUUAGAAGCACAGUAAUGAAGAGCCUGGGGGAUUUUUCUCUUCCCUCUUAUUUCUUUGUAUUCCUCCCACCUUCUCGGCAUCCUCCUCCUUAAAGUCACCCUUGGAUGUCCAGAAGAGAAGCGUGACCUCUCUCACUAGCAGGCUCCAGCCCAGGCUCCAGAGAAGACUUAAGGACAGCCUCUCCUGCCUGGCAGAAUUGAAACCAAGAUUUUAGAAGGACAAGGUGAGGGAGGAAAAUGCCUCUGCCAGGAAACAGCCUGCAGUCCUUGGGACUCUCCUCUUCUGGGGCUCUUUACAACACGCGCUCCUGAGCUGGCUUCUUUUUUUUUUUUUUUCUGAGCUGGCUUCUUUAAGGGUCUUUCCUCACAGGUGCCUGCUUUUCUGGGAGGUUUUUCUGCUGAAGAGAAUCAGGUCUAUGAAUGUCCUGUGGCAGGCAGAUGCUUCUCUCUACUGUGGCAGAAAGGAGCCCGAGUUAUAGCUGCACUGGUGAGGCGGGGGGCUUGGAUGGAAGUGUGGGGGUGGGAGGAGGCAGCUCUGCUUCAGCCCCCAGGCCUGUUCCAUGUGUCCUUGUUCCCAUUAGUCCGGACACCCCCACCCUGCUCAACGUGCACACACAAACGAUCUGCCAACUUGACUGCCCUUGAUCUAGAUCGAUAGCUUGUCCCAAGCUCCAGUCAAUUCGUAUUGUGCAGCUCUUGCCUUCCAGGGAAGACUAACAAAUGGGCCUACAAGCCCCAAGGUAGACACCUGUGGUGUUGUCUUAUGGCUUUCAGUCUGCGUGUAAUUUUUCACUUUCUUGACCUUCCUUUUUUACCCUUAACACCCACACCUGCCCCAGAUUCUAGUUCCCUUCUCUGGAAACCUUGACUGCCCUGGAGAACCACAGGCUGGAGGGCAAGAGGCUGGGAAAGGGGUUUUAGCAGGAAUUGGAAGGACUGUAGUGUUUGGCAAACUCGGGAAACAGAGUCAGAGACAGGAAAUAUUGAUGUAGGAGAGGAGUGGCUCUCCCAGGAAGAGACUGACAGGGUGGCAUGUCCAGGCAGAAACCUCAGAUGGCCUCUGAUGAAAGCUUUCCAGCUCUCCUGGAAGUACCUUCUGUGUAGCCAUUUCAAACCAGACUGAGCCCUUUUGAGCCUGAGGAGCUGGGUAAGGCACUGGCCACAGAGGGAAAAGGGGCUGGGGAGGUGUGAAGGGGUGAAUUACUCAGCUGAUGUGAUGAGGGCAGACAGAGCAGGCGGAGAGGAUCAGAGGUGAUGGGCUCCGUAGGGGCCGGACUGCCAAUACUGGAGCUAGCCUGGCACUGACAAGCCCUGGGGAGAGAGGCCAAGGUCAGGGAUCAUGGCAGAGGGGCGGGGCGUUCUGUGGGCCCAAAUGAACAGAAAAGAAAUAAAAGGGGUUGAUGAGGGAAUGUGGCGGGAGGUGAGGGGCAACCAGGUAAUGGAGUUGAAAUAAAAAUAGAAAAACUAUCAAAGGACACGAAAA